UUUCUCUCCAGGUUUUGUCAAGGGUUUUGUUUCAAGGAAACCUCAGAGUAUUUUGCUUCUCUUCCUUUUUCUAUCUGAUCUCUCUCUUUUAUAACCUGAUUUUCAUGGCUUUGUGGGCUCAAAUGAGAGAGGUCCAAGUCCAAGUUUUUCUAUUAUAUUUUAUUUAUUUUUUUAUUAUUAUUUUUUUUUUGUAAUUUUAUUUUUAUUUUUUUUAAAGUUUCUUGGAUCUAAUUCUGAUUGACAUGAUGAAAUGCAA
rnacentral:lncRNA from 1 species